AGCAGCCGCGGUAAUUCCAGCUCCAAUAGCGUAUAUUAAAGUUGUUGCAGUUAAAAAGCUCGUAGUUGAAUUUCGGAGUUUGUCGGUUGGUCGGGCUUCACUGUCCGCACUGGCCUGAUAGAUUCCUACCUUCUGAAUAACCAGCACGCUAUUAAGUUAGUGCGUUGGGGAAGCAGAGCUAUUACCUUGAAAAAAUUAGAGUGCUUAAAGCAGGCUUAUGCUUGAAUAGAUUAGCAUGGAAUAAUAAAAUAGGACGGCAUGGUUCUAUUUUGUUGGUUUCUAGGAUCACCGUAAUGAUUAAUAGGGAUAGUUGGGGGCAUUAGUAUUCAAUUGUCAGAGGUGAAAUUCUUGGAUUUAUUGAAGACUAACUUCUGCGAAAGCAUUUGCCAAGGAUGUUUUCAUUAAUCAAGAACGAAAGUUAGGGGAUCGAAGACGAUCAGAUACCGUCGUAGUCUUAACCAUAAACUAUGCCGACUAGGGAUCGGACGAUGUUAAUUUUUUAANGACUCGUUCGGCGCCU
rnacentral:misc_RNA from 1 species